CCGGCGGCGAACGCGUGCACUUUUCUUCCGGUAGGACGUCGCGAUCCGUCGGGCGUCGNUNUACGGCUCGCGGUGGAGCCCGUUCGUAUUCGUACGGACGGACCCGCGUAUCCCGGCCGACACGCUCGACGGUAGGCGAACGGUUUAAGGCCGCUCUCGGAGCGUCCGACUCGUGGCAAGCGCGCCAGAUGCGUCGGCGAUCGGACCUAGUGCCGGUUC
rnacentral:rRNA from 1 species